rnacentral:rRNA from 1 species
AUUGAACGCUGGCGGCAGGCCUAACACAUGCAAGUCGAGCGAGCGGCGGACGGGUGAGUAAUGUCUGGGAAACUGCCUGAUGGAGGGGGAUAACUACUGGAAACGGUAGAUAAUAACGCAUACAAUCAGAUGUGUCCAGAUGGGAUUAGCUAGUAGGUGGGGUAAUGGCGCACCUAGGCGACGAUCCCUAGCUGGGCUGAGAGGAUGACCAGCCACACUGGAACUGAGAUACGGUCGAGACGCCUACGGAAUGCAGCAGUGGGGAAUAUUGCACAAUGGGCUCUAGCCUGAUGCAGCCAUGCCGCGUGUAUGAAGAAGGCCUUCGUGUUGUAAAGCACUUUCAGCGGGGAGGCGUUACCCGCAGAAGAAGCACCGGCUAACUCCGUGCCAGCAGCCGCGGUAAUAC